rnacentral:lncRNA from 1 species
AGAAAAGCAACCCAGGACUUCAGGGUAAGAAUGUGAUGUCAGCACAAGUGUCUAAUUCCUCUCCUUCCAGGUCCCCAUUAAAAUGACCGAUAGGUAUAAAAAGAAGAGAAAAGACUGCGCCCAGUGCUGACGCUUAGGAAGGCACACCGAAUCUCCAAGAAUUUCUGUUUGAUGAGAAUGAAUCGAAAGAAAAGGCAAACUCGUGACCCUCCCAGGGUGGAAGAGGGGCCGCAUGCAGACAGGGGCUCCCCUAGUUCAUAUUUAUUUGUGAAAUUGCAACCAUUGAGGGAAGGCACCACCUCCAAGAGAAGUGUGGGAUUCCUGUCCUUUAUUUCCAUCCUUGAAGGCAGAAAGAAAUCUGGAUUCCUAGAGGAUCCCAGAGAUGGCACAAAAGAUAAGCAAACACGAUGUGAAGCCUCUGCAGCUGGGACAGCGCCUCAGUUCUGCGGGAAGCAGCAUCCCAGAGUGAACCUCAGAUCAGGGCAGAGCUCCUGGAGCCCAUGGAUGAUGUCUGUGUUUUCAGGACAGGGAGGCAUAUGCCCCUUCUGCCACUCUGGUUUGGAUGACCUCGGACUGCUUCUCUCUUUGCAGCUUCCACUCUGAAUCUAAACCCAACUUGAAGGGAUUCAUGUUGAAGUUCAAAGCAGUCUGGUAACAGAUUAAAAAUGUGUUUCCCAGUUGAAGGCUCUCUCUAUUCGCUCCUAAAACAAGAAACUGGCCAGAGAGUGGGGGUGGGGGGACCCAAGGAGGGGCUGGGAAAGGGGCAGUGCAGGAGAGGAUGGGAGGGGGUUCAACCCUAGAUGAAAACAUGGUCCAGUAAAACUUUUUUCUGAUAGUGGACAUGUUCUAUGUCUGCGCUAAUAUGAUAGAUACUAGCUGUACAUACUAAGCACUGGAAAUGGGGUUAGUGUGAUUGGGGAACGGAACUUUUUAUAUAAUUAAAUUUUCAUUAAUUUAGAUUUGUAUGGAAAUAACUGAUGUGGCCAUUGCCCACCACAUUGGCUAGUAUAGGCCUCUGUCUUUUCUUUGAAUACGCAAGUUUAUAUGUUCUUUACCAACAUAGAUUUAAAAAAUCCCCACAUUUUAUUUAUAUCGAUCGAAAAAGAAUGCCCGGAA